ACGAACGCUGGCGGCGUGCCUAACACAUGCAAGUCGAGCGAUAUGGAGGUUGGAUGUUAGAGGUUAGAGGUUCGGCGGACGGGUGAGUAACACGUGGGUAACCUACCCCAAGGAGGGGGAUAACAGGUCGAAAGGCCUGCUAAUACCGCAUACAGCUUAUGUAUCGCAUGAUACAUAAGCCAAAGGAGGAAUCCGCCUUGGGAUGGUGGGCUCGCCCCCCAUCCCCUAGUUGAUAGGGUAAAGGCCUACCAAGGCGACCACGGGUACCCGGCCUGAAACGGUGAACGGCCACAGUGGGACUGAGACACCAUUUUCACUCCUACGGGAGGCAGCAGCGUGGAAUCUUGGGCCAUGGGCGAAACCCUGACGCAGCGACGCCGCGUGAGCGAUGAAGGCCUUUGGGUUGUAAAGCUCUGUCUUCCCUGACGAUAAUGACGGUAAGGGAGGAGGAAGCCACGGCUAACUACGUGCCAGCAGCCGCGGUAAUACGUAGGUGGCGAGCGUUGUCCGGAAUUACUGGGCGUAAAGGGUGCGUAGGCGGCUCUUUAAGUGGGAUGUGAAAUCCCUGGGCUCAACCCAGGAACUGCAUUCCAAACUGGAGAGCUAGAGUGCAGGAGAGGAAAGCGGAAUUCCCAGUGUAGCGGUGAAAUGCGUAGAGAUUGGGAGGAACACCAGUGGCGAAGGCGGCUUUCUGGACUGUAACUGACGCUGAGGCACGAAAGCGUGGGGAGCAAACAGGAUUAGAUACCCUGGUAGUCCACGCUGUAAACGAUGGGUACUAGGUGUAGGGGGCGAAGCCCUCUGUGCCGCAGCUAACG
rnacentral:rRNA from 1 species